rnacentral:rRNA from 1 species
ACGGCUCAGUAACACGUGGAUAACCUGCCCAAGGGUCUGGGAUAACCCCGGGAAACUGGGGAUAAUACCGGAUGGAUCACUAGUGCUGGAAUGCUUGGUGGUUUAAAUGCGACGCCUUUGGAUGGGUCUGCGGCGGAUUAGGUUGACGCCGGUGUAACGUACCGGCGUGCCUGUAAUCCGUACGGGUUGUGGGAGCAAGAGCCCGGAGAUGGAUUCUGAGACACGAAUCCAGGCCCUACGGGGCGCAGCAGGCGCGAAAACUCUACAAUGCAGGCAACUGCGAUAGGGGGACAUCGAGUGGCAUCCACCUUGGGUGCCUGUCCAACCGUCUAAAAAACGGUUGUUAGCAAGGGCCGGGUAAGACCGGUGCCAGCCGCCGCGGUAAUACCGGCGGCUCGAGUGGUGGCCGAUAUUAUUGAGUCUAAAGGGUCCGUAGCCGGCUUUGCAAGUCCCCUGGGAAGUCCAGCGGCUUAACCGUUGGGCUUUCAUGGGAUACUACAUUGCUUGGGACUGGGAGAGGUAGGAGGUACUCGGGGGGUAGGGGUGAAAUCCUGUAAUCCUCCGGGGACCACCGGUGGCGAAGGCGUCCUACCAGAACAGGUCCGACGGUGAGGGACGAAAGCUAGGGGCACGAACCGGAUUAGAUACCCGGGUAGUCCUAGCCGUAAACGAUGCCCGCUAGGUGUCACGACGGUCGUGAAUCGUCGUGGUGCCGUAGGGAAGCCGCGAAGCGGGCCACUUGGGAAGUACGGCCGCAAGGCUGAAACUUAAAGGAAUUGGCGGGGGAGCAC